rnacentral:tRNA from 1 species
GCCUGGGUGGCUCAGUUGGUUAAGCGCCCGACUUCAGCUCAGGUCACGAUCUCGCGGUCCGCGAGUUCGAGCCCCGCGUCGGGCU